CGUAGGGUGCAAGCGUUAAUCGGAAUUACUGGGCGUAAAGCGUGCGCAGGCGGUUAUGUAAGACAGGUGUGAAAUCCCCGGGCUUAACCUGGGAACUGCAUUUGUGACUGCAUAGCUAGAGUACGGUAGAGGGGGAUGGAAUUCCGCGUGUAGCAGUGAAAUGCGUAGAUAUGCGGAGGAACACCGAUGGCGAAGGCAAUCCCCUGGACCUGUACUGACGCUCAUGCACGAAAGCGUGGGGAGCAAACAGGAUUAGAUACCCUGGUAGUCCACGCCCUAAACGAUGUCAACUGGUUGUUGGGUCUUCACUGUCUCAGUAACGAAGCUAACGCGUGAAGUUGACCGCCUGGGGAGUACGGCCGCAAGGUUG
rnacentral:rRNA from 1 species